AGGAGAGCCAGUUGGUUACGUUAGUUGCUAAACAGUUCGCAUACAAGCGGUUGGUAGGCGACAGUUGGAAUGUUUGCGUUCACACACUAUUAUCAUGAGCGGUCUCGAACAGUGAUUAAAUUAUUUGGGAAGGAAGUUUGUUAGUAACAGUACGCAUGCACAAGUUAGCCGUUUAGCUAGCUAACAAACUAUUUAAAAACAAAUCAAACUUGACUGUCAACAGCGAGUGCAAAAUGCCAGUUCAAACGAUGCAAUUGGCAUUAUACGAUGCAACUCGUUUUGUAGAAACACAAUUUCACGCAAAUAGCUUUGCUUGAUCAACAGCACUAGCUAACUAACAUAGUUAGCUCAUUUGAAUAUCCUCAAGGCCAACGUGAGUAGUUAGCUAGCUAACGCGUUGGUCUAGCCCUUUGAUUUGGUGAAGAAUGGCUGGUACGGUAUUGGGCGUGGGAACUUUUUUUUUCUUCCAUUGCUCUUAUCUGGAUUGUAGCUUUCGUGCUGGGGAUGAUCCUCUUGAGAGCUACUGGACCAACUAACUUAGGGGUCAUCCCUGUCUUCCUGCUGGCCCCUCAUUUCCACUCUUAUCCUGGUGUUCUUCCCCUGUAGCUCAGAGACCCUGUCACCAUUCAAAGAUUUUGAGACCGUAGACACUUUCUUCAUCAGCCGAUACGUCCUGCUGUCGGUGGCCAGCGUAGGCUUCUUGGUUGCUCUGUUCGGCCUGCUGCCCCUCCAUUUCCUGGAAGCUGUCUAAGCCAAGCCCUUGAACACACUAGAGCUGAGUGGCCAGGCCAAGUUGGCAUGCUAGACUAGUGGCCAGGGCCCAAUGUGCAGCGCUGGAGAUGAGAAGAGGCCAACUAAGAGGGGCCCUAGUGAAAUCGAGCGCAGGACAGGUUGGCAACCGAGCCCAAAAACAGACAGGGCCAAUGUUUUCUCCGUGAUCGACUGUUUGUUGUUGGGGGGAAUUUUGGGCCAACUGAAAUUAAAGAGGCUACUAUGUUCUUUGGUAUAGGCCACUGUAAACAUAAACAAUGUGUUUUGUGUUUAUGGAUAGCAAUUAGGCUACUUUGAAUUGUGGUGGUGGAAUAGCACUUGCAUUAAUAUAAUGCAUUUAUCUCUGUUGCCUGAUUCAGAAGUUCAGAGGAUAAGACUGAUAACUGUAUGUAUAUUUUUGACAUUCACUUUUUUUUUCUCCACUUGUAUUUAUAAAAUGGAUGUAUUGUGAUUUUUAGGAGAACUUUAUUAAACAUUUCAAUAUUGUU